GAGUUGUAAUCUGGAGAAGCGUUUUCCGUGUCGGACCGUGYACAAGUCUCUUGGAACAGAGCGUCAUAGAGGGUGAGAAUCCCGUUUUAUGGCACGGACACCCGAUACUUUGUGAUACGUUUUCUAAGAGUCGAGUUGUUUGGGAAUGCAGCUCAAAAUGGGUGGUAAAUUCCAUCUAAAGCUAAAUAUAGGCGAGAGACCGAUAGCGAACAAGUACCGUGAGGGAAAGAUGAAAAGCACUUUGGAAAGAGAGUUAAACAGUACGUGAAAUUGUUGAAAGGGAAACGCUUGAAGUCAGUCGCGUCUUCUAGGACUCAGCCUUACUUCGGUUAGGUGUACUUCCUGGUUUGACGGGUCAACAUCGAUUUUGAUCGACGGAUAAAGGAGAAGGGAACGUGGCACCUCCGGGUGUGUUAUAGCCCUCUUCRUAUACGUCGAUUGGGAUCGAGGACUGCAGCACGCCCUUGUGGCCGGGGGUUCGCCCUACGUAUCGUGCUUAGGAUGUUGACAUAAUGGCUUUAAGCGACCCGUCUUGAAACACGGACCAAGGAGUCUAACAUGCUCGCGAGUGUUAGGGUGGAAAACCCUUGCGCGUAAUGAAAGUGAAAGUUGGGACCUCUGCGAGGAGGGCACCGACGCCCGGCCCUGAAGUUCUCUGACGGUGCUGCGGUAGAGCGCGUAUGUUGGGACCCGAAAGAUGGUGAACUAUGCCUGAAUAGGGCGAAGCCAGAGGAAACUC
rnacentral:rRNA from 1 species